GAUAACACUCCUGUCCUGUUUUCCAGGAGACUAUUUCCCUGCUCCCUCUGGAUGGAUGGUGGCUCUCUUCCUAACAGCAGCUGUUACUGUAGCAGCAUCAGUACUUCUGGUGAUCCAGUGGAGAAGAAUGGACAAACAGGAAAUUCUAUGGACAUUAAAUGUGAACAACUUGCUUCAGAGAGAACUGGGUGAG